CAAACCCUCCUGGAAAGGGCAAGGAAGAAGGGAAGUAGGUUUCUUCCAGAGGCUUUUCUCAAGAAACAUUUCCUCUUCUCAGUAAUAUAAUGGCAAGUUACGGUAUAGUUCCUGGUCCCAGGAGGAAGUUGUCCACGAACCACAUUCCUUACAGCUGAAUGGCAAGUUCUUCCUGGAAGGUUAUCUAGAAGACAGUUCCAUGACCGCCAUGGGCACACCACCAUGCUGCCAUAAUGCCUGCCAAUCUUGGAUUCAUUCACCUCUGCAACCAGAAGCAUGCUGUUUGACCUGUUGAUCUUGAGUUUAUCAGCCCCUACAGCUACAUGAGUCAAGAUUCCACAAAACACAACUCACAAAGACAAUGUUCUACAUCCUACUCUGGUGAAAAGUGACUGGUGCCUUAAAAGCCCCUGAGCAGCCAUUUAAGGUGUUACUAUUGGCCUCUCCCUAUCAAGGGAGAGAAGAAAAGGAAAAGUUAAAUAUAUAUCAGCAUAUUGAAACAUUUAGUCCAAUGGACUAAUGAAGAAUGUAAACAUCAGACCCCACUACCCUGAGACCAGAAGAACUAGAUCAGGUCUGGCCGCCACUGCUAACUGCUCUGAAAAGGGUCACCUCAGAGGUUU